ACAAAGGAGAAACCCGCUAGAGACAGCAGAAGUGGUAAAACGAUCUUCCGGAAGACACGCCUGUGUGUCCCGGGCACAGUUCACGCCGGAGCGAAGCCUUACAAGUGUUGGGAGUGUGAGAAAACCUCCCACAAGUCGCGCCUCAUCGAGCACCUUCGCUCCCACACGGGGGAGAAGCCCUGCGGCUGCAGGGAAUGCGGAAAGGCCUUUUUCCAGAAGUCACACCUCAUCCUGCGUCAGAGGACUCACACGGGGGAGAAGCCCUGCGACUGCGCGGAGUGCGGGAAAGCUGCUCCCAGGACUCCUGCCUCCUGACCCACAGGCGGACUCGCGGGGAAGAAACCGUACGAGUGCUCCGACUGCGGGAAGACCUCCCGGAAGGCGAACCUCAUCCGCCACCACGGGAUCCACACGAGGGAGAAGCUGCAUGGGUGAAGAGACCGUGGGAUCGUCACAAAGUCACAUCACGAGGUCGCCGAACCUCUAGGAGGGACAUCGCCAGGGAAACAGCCCUCAACCAAAACUACGACGCCACCCUAGGCAGAGAAAGCUGACUUCAUGAGACCGAGGAUCUCGUUCGUUGAUCGAUGCUACAUAUUCAGCAUGUUAGAUAAUGAGGUUGGUGAGAUUGAUGAAAUCCCGCCCACCAGGGCCGACCCACAAAGAGCCACUUUAUGAAGAACAUGCUCCUGAACUCCACUCCACAACCAGCUUUUGAAAAGAAAAAUCUGAAAAAAUUUGACCUCAGUUAAACUGGUCCAAAUGCCUGAGCAUAACCAAAAUCUUUCCUCAUUCACUCUUCACG
rnacentral:lncRNA from 1 species